rnacentral:lncRNA from 1 species
CUUCGACAGAAAACUCUUUAAGAAAGUAGGUGGUAACAAAUGCAGGCUCAGUAAAAAAAUGCAGUAGAACUUCGAAAAAAUGCACGAAAGAAGGUACUAACUGAGAAAAUGUACAAUUCGUAGUCACUAAAAAAUUCGGCAAACUAAACUGUAGUUGACAUCUGUGAAGUGAUGCACGAAUCGUUGCAGCACGAGAUGCUGAGGGAGGCCAAGCUGGUGACGCCCGAGAGGCCCGAGACGUGCGUUGUCGUUUUGGGGCUUCGGCAAGCUUACAUUUGUGCUCCUCAAAUUCGGCCUGGGUCAGCAGUUUUUUCGAUUGCGGAAUUGGUU